rnacentral:rRNA from 1 species
CCCUUAGAUGUUCUGGGCCGCACGCGCGCUACACUGACGAAGUCAGCGAGCAUGUCCUACGCCGACAGGUGCGGGGAAUCUUGUCAAACUUCGUCGUGAUGGGGAUUGAUUAUUGAAAUUCUUGAUCAUCAACGAGGAAUUCCUAGUAAGCGCAAGUCAGCAGCUUGCGUUGAUUACGUCCCUGCCCUUUGUACACACCGCCCGUCGCACCUACCGAUUGAAUGGUCCGGUGAAAUCUCGGGACGGCGGCUUGGUCGCUUGCGUCCGACUGCUGAAACUUGAUUAAACCAUAUCAUUUAGAGGAAGGUGAAGUCGUAACA